AUGGAAAGUCAACUGCCAAGAAGCUGACCUCUAUUUCUGGUGAUGAUCUUGGAGAUUCGUUUGCUGAUGAUGAACCGAAAACUAAGCUGGAAUGGAUCCAACAGAUGUUAAGAAAAGAAAAUGAAAUCGAUGACGAUGACGAUGACGAUGAUGAUGAUGAUGAGGAUGAGGAUGAGGAUGAUGAUGAUGAUGAUGAUGAUGAUGAAGAGGGAGAAGAUGUUGAUGAUGAUGAUGAUGAUGAUGGAGAGGGAGAUGAUCUGGCAAGUGAAAUGCCACAAUCAUUAAAAGACUGGGAACAAAGUGAU
rnacentral:lncRNA from 1 species